UCCAAUUGUGAAAUUAGGUUUGUAAUUAGUCUAUGUUUAAUACUCUUAAUUAGUAUCUAAACAUUCGAUGUGAUACGAAUUUUAGGAGCUCCUAAAGAACCCUUAGAUCUAGAUAAAUCUCAAACAUCCGUUAGCGUAAGAGGGGGUACACCACUUAUUAGUCCCGUAACGCUAAUAGAUGAGUGUGUUGGGAGUUUUCCUCCCAAUAAAUACGAACCACCCCCUUAUGAAAAAGACGCAUCAUAUACUACUAUAUAGGAAGGCCUCUAGGUUCGGGUAUCCCUUUAGGUGGUCGGUACGAGUUAGGUUUUGCCUCUUCUACACUGUUACGCCGCUACAGUAGUCUUUCCAUCCCGUUGCGUCGGCGUGCACCGGCGAGCGGGAGAGUUAUGAUCCUGCAUUGAGAAAGGGCGAAUAAGGGUUUUAGGAAGCGCUCCGUGCGACUGCUCAUGUUCGUCAUCACGGCUCGUCCUCCGUCCAUGUCAGGCGCUGUAGCGUACCGUCGUCUUCAACGCCGGCUGCUGCGAUACGUCCGCAACACUGUUGUCGUCCCGUGAGUGCUCCUCGUCAUCAUGACUUCCCGGACGCACACCUCGGAGAUGAUGUCGUCGGCGCGGGCGAGGUGCGUGCGGCAUCCCCUGCACCUGUAGACGUUGCCGCCCCGCGUCGUUGAGCUCGACGGGACGGCCAUUGCUGGCGUCACCCCCGUCGAGGGUGGGGCGGUUGGUCAUCUCGGUCACGGCGCCCAUGGCAGCCGCGGCCGCGAUCUCCACGGGCGUGGCGGCGGCGCCGCGGCGGGGAUCGGCGUGUCCAUGCCGCUCUCCAUCGGGCGGGCCUCCUCUCCUCUGAUCGGAAGAACAGGAAGACGGAGUCCUAGCGUAGGUAACUCAAGCGAAUACUUCGUCAGUUAGUUUGUUUCCCGGGAAAAUUGGAUCUGUACUCUGUUAUCUGUUACAAUUUAAAAGAUCCAAAUCUAAGGUUCCGUUUAGGAUAACUUAUUUUGGCUUAAUGAUGUACUGUAGCGUGUUGUGUAGCGUGCUGCCAUUUUGUAAUCUGUUAUCUGUUACAAUUUAAAAGUUGAAGCCACUGUUUUUUUAGCUUCGCCAA